rnacentral:rRNA from 1 species
UGGGGAAUAUUGGGCAAUGGGCGCAAGCCUGACCCAGCAACGCCGCGUGAAGGAAGAAGGCCCUCGGGUUGUAAACUUCUUUUAUCAGGGACGAAGGAAGUGACGGUACCUGAUGAAUAAGCCACGGCUAACUACGUGCCAGCAGCCGCGGUAAUACGUAGGUGGCAAGCGUUAUCCGGAUUUACUGGGUGUAAAGGGCGUGUAGGCGGGAGAGCAAGUCAGACGUGAAAUUCCAGGGCUCAACCCUGGAACUGCGUUUGAAACUGUUCUUCUUGAGUGAUGGAGAGGCAGGCGGAAUUCCGUGUGUAACGGUGAAAUGCGUAGAUAUACGAGGAACACCAGUGGCGAAGGCGGCCUGCUGGAACAUUAACUGACGCUGAGGCGCGAAAGCGUGGGGAGCAAACAGGAUUAGAUACC